GGCCACUUUCAGCCCAACCCUGGCCCAACCAAAAGUGAGUUGUCUUAACUCUGGGUAUAAAGGGACUCUAAUGUCGAAGUCUCAACGCAUAAUGCAGUCAGAGAAGUAUUUUUGUUUUUCUGCUCUCCGUGUUGCCGAAUGGCUUACCUAAAUAUGAAACUAAAUUGAAAAGUGGGAGGAAUGAUUAAAUCGAGGAAAGUGGGCGGAAAUGAUACGCAGCCGAAAACUGCGGCGACGCGUUCAGAAGUUCAGAUGGCAUGUCGAGCUUUACAAGAUCAACAAUAAAAUCAGCGCUAGCUUCGUGCGGAAUUCCGGGGGAACAGUUACAUGUUUGAAAUGCGGCUCGUUGAGCGGCUUGCCGAGCUGUCUGAACGCGCGUUAUUAGGAGUUCCAUGCGAAACCGUAGAAACCAAAUUCCUUUGGCUUAACUUGAAUGUUGCUCAUGGUGGUCGUUGCAUGGUGGUUUAUAAUGUCAUAUAAUAUAUGUACUACGUCAACAGAAGCGAAAGCCACCGCCAUUUUUAUGUCAUCGAAGCGAAGCUGAGUCAAUGAGCACUGUUCACGUUUGCGGCAUGUCGACGUCCUGCAAAGGCCGAGUGAUAAGUAACGGAAACAAACGUUUCAGGAAUUAAAAGAGAUUUUUCUUACACUUGUUUACUGUUAUGCCGGAGAAGUAUACUGUGGGGUUGCUUUAUAUUUUUUGUUUCUUCCCAAUUUUAUAAUUGUAGGUUGCUCAAAUCAGGUUUCAAUAAGGACGAAGAUUGACCGACCCCGGGAAGAAAAAUGUUCACAUUGGUUCUUACGGAGCUUUUGCUUCUGUUAGCGAUGUCUAUUUAAAUGCACGAAACUCAUCCAUGGCGGAGCUUAUAUACGACUCAUACGAAUUAUACGGAAGCAGUGGCAGGAUCCGUUGCGCACAAUAAUAACCAAUCAAAAACUUGAAUAUAAAACGUACAAGGUUUCGUGGCUUCCAGAUGUAACGGAGGUUCUUUUGAAUCGCGAUUUGCUCGAAGCAAAUUAAUAAAUAGGUAAAAAUUAAAGAACUCUAUAGGCACAGAAAAAUAUCCAAUGGGUUCUUUCAGUAACGACAUUGAUUAAAAAAACAUUUACCAGGAAUCUAAAUGCGCUCAAUAAUUAUUUAUCACGAUGCAAAAAUUAAAAAAUCUUCCCGCCAUAAAAACGGUUUUAAAAAUACCCAGUGAGCAACGGAACUCGAAACGCAUAUCUAUAGUGACUGAACUCUCGGCGAUCACAAUAAAGCGCGCUUCAUAUGCAUGGUGCGCUUAGUAUCAAAUAAAAAUGUUGCUCAGUUCUCUGUCACUCGUAAUAAGACAUGAGACGAAAUCAGGCAAUGUCUGUUGUAGUUGAGCUGAUAGUGAAUUCCACCCUGUAAGACUCGAAAAUGAGCUCGUUGCAAAAAAUUGUGGAUGGAUGUAUAUAUUUCAAGCUAAUGUCAAAUCAAGCCGUUCGUCAUUGCUAUAGCUUUGUCACUUUACACUCACAAGGCGCACCUUCAGUUACGGCGCGCGGCAAUUUCGCGACGUUGGAGUUUGAAGAGUUGCGCGAGUAUGGUCGUCUAUCUCAUUCUUUCGUAACAUCUGCAAUCUAGGAGAUAUUUUCAAAAUGUUUCUAUUGACAUGCUACUAACUAACAUGUCGCCUUACAGCGCCUCUGUGCGCCUUCCGACACCCAAUUGCCACUGAUAGCGAUCCUGCCCGAGCCCCUCCGGCAAAUCGCAUCUCCUAAUUUCCUAUCUUAUUUCAUCAAUCCACAUUUUGGCAGGACGUCCUCUACGUUUUCUGCUAGGGGGUGGGGGGGCCCAAUUUGGAACCUUCUUAGGCAACCUAUCAUCUGGCAUCCUUUGCUCAUGCCCAUACCAGACAAGCUGUUUUAUGAAAAUGUCAUGUACUGUGUUGUUUUCAACACCCAUAAUUUCACGCAUCCUUUCAUUCCAAACGUGAUCCUCCCUUGACACUCUGACUUUUCUACUGACAUGCUUCCAAUUAGGUACAUAUUUUGAGUGCAUUUUAGAGACAGCUAAAUAAAACAAUAAUUCUUAAAGUAUCCUAACACAUCAGAAACGUGUACAAACGUUUUUUAAAAACGUUCUAGCUGUGUUUCGGAAAUUUUUUGUCAUUUAGAACAUUGGGAAUAAAUAAAAACAAAAGUAAGGACAUUUUUUUGACUCCACAGGAAACACAUUAUCUGAUUUUGAUCUCAAUUUAACUUGAAAGGCAGGAAAACAUUUUGAUAAUUAAUUAAGGAAGCGAAAAAAUUAAUCACGGGAAAUGAUUUCUCAUUUCACUCCUUUAUCAUAAUACCAAUAAAAUUAUGAGAGCAAAUGAAUUCUUUGGUUGCUAAUUCAAGAGCUAAAACUGUGCAGCUAGUGCCGUGACCUUGUUUUUUUUCGGCCAAAAUUACCAUUAAAAAUACUGUGGUACUUCGUAAGCAUAAAAAUAUUCCAGCUUCUGUCUGCAAUCUACGUUUACACGGACGGAUAAUAAUCCGUCCCUGUGUUUUAUUUUUUGUAUAAUAAUUGUAUAUUUCUAUGUAUUUUCUCUUCAAGCAAUAAAUUAUUGUUCUUUACGUACGCAA